CCCUCUAGUUUUAACCCUGCAGCUGAAAACAUAGCAGUUUCAGAGAAACUGCCAUGUUUCACUGAGGGUUAAUCCAGCCUCUAGUGGCUGUCUCACUGACAGCAGCUAGAGGAGCACACUGAACGUCCAUAGGAAAGCAUUGUGUAAUGCUUUCCUAUGGGCGGUUUGAAUGCGUGCGCGGUCGCAUUCGGAGCUGAGAGGCUGAGGGAUCCUCAGCGC